UCUCUUUAAAAAUCAAUGGAAGAAUAUCCUCAGGUGAGGAUUAACCAGAAAAAAAAAGUUUGUAGUUGCAAUUAUCCUUGGAUCAAAAGGAGUUUGCAGUGGACACACAAAAUAAAUCGAUUUGUAAAUUAUAGAUAGUAGAGUCAAAGAGUAAUCUUUAAAACCUAAUGUUGGCAUAAGUAUUUCAUUCACUUGUGCUAGAUGCCCUCUCCUGGUCAAUGUGAGUAAUGUUCAGGAGCUUAUUCUUUCUAGAUUCUGCUUUGCUAUAAAAUGUAUUACGUGCAAAUGCACAUGUAGUCCAUGCCGGGCUUCCUAUAUGAGGAAAGAAACCUGAAGAUGAGUGACUUUUAACUUUACAAAAGUUGGUAUCUUAUUUCCCUCCUUUACCCUAGCACUUUUUUAGCCUUGUAUGGUAGGAUAAUACUUUUGUUUGUUAACUGCUGUUCUGUUCUUUUUCUCGUGACCUCACCAUCAGUCCAAGGGGAGGGAUCCUGCAUAUGGCCUGUUGGUGCAUGACAGGAGUGAUGUGUGGAACAAGAAGCCAGCCAAGGACCUGAGCAGAUCGGUGAAUGGAUUACCAAAAUUUGGUGUAUACAUGCAAAGGACUACUACUCAGCAAUAAAAAGAACUGAACUAUUGAUUAACACAAAGACAUGGGUGAAUCUCAAAAUCCUGAUGUCGAGUGAAAGAAGGCAAACAAAAAGAAUUCUCGUCAAAUGUGCGUUGUAUCCAGCCUGCUUGGUGGUAAAUCAGAAUGUCACCACUUGACCUUGGCAAAGCUACCUGGUAGUGAGGAUGAAAGGAGCACGGAACAAUCUGUGUCUGAGUCACCGAGUUUUCCUUCAGCAGCAUAAAUGUGUCAUCUGUUUUGUCAUGGCUCGUCUUGAGCAAUAGAAGCCACAGUU